UACAGAGGGUGCGAGCGUUGUCCGGAUUUACUGGGCGUAAAGAGCGCGUAGGCGGCUCGUUAAGUGUGAAGUGAAAUCUCCAGGGCUCAACCCGGAAACUGCUUUACAUACUGGCGAGCUGGAGUGAUGAAGAGGUUUGUGGAAUUCCUGGUGUAGCGGUGAAAUGCGUUGAUAUCAGGAGGAACACCCAUGGCGAAGGCAGCAAACUGGUCAUCAACUGACGCUGAGGCGCGAAAGCGUGGGUAGCAAACAGG
rnacentral:rRNA from 1 species